AACAUACCGUUGAUGGAGCAUAGUAACCUUGAUACACGUGGAAAGAGAGGAAAUGCCGUGGCUGAAAGCAUUUCUGCAUGAUGACCUGGUGAAUGAACACUCCGUAGGAUUUUCUCUGAACAUGGGUAAUUCCAUCAUUAGGAGAGGACGUAUUCAGGCGUUAACUGUUAAAGAGGAAGUGCAUUCAUGCACUUCAAUUAGGGUGGCACCACGGGAAUUCAAAGCUCUCGUCCCUUGU
rnacentral:ncRNA from 1 species